CCUACGGGUGGCAGCAGUGGGGAAUAUUGCACAAUGGGGGAACCCUGAUGCAGCGACGCCGCGUGAGUGAAGAAGUAUUUCGGUAUGUAAAGCUCUAUCAGCAGGAACGAGACAAGACGGUACCUGACUAAGAAGCCCCGGCUAACUACGUGCCAGCAGCCGCGGUAAUACGUAGGGGGCAAGCGUUAUCCGGAAUCACUGGGUGUAAAGGGGGCGUAGACGGCUGUGCAAGCCUGAAGUGAAAGGCGGGGGCCCAACCCCUGGACUGCUUUGGGAACUGUACGGCUGGAGUGCAGGAGAGGUAAGUGGAAUUCCUAGUGUAGCGGUGAAAUGCGUAGAUAUUAGGAGGAACACCAGUGGCGAAGGCGGCUUACUGGACUGUAACUGACGUUGAGGCUCGAAAGCGUGGGGAGCAAACAGGAUUAGAUACCCGAGUAGUC
rnacentral:rRNA from 1 species